CUGUGAGUCUCCUGGGCUUCUUAAAAUGCAGGUUCUGAAUCAGUGGGUCUGGGGUGGGUCUCGGGGUCUGCAUUUCUAACAAGCUCCCAGGUGAAGCCUGU
rnacentral:miRNA from 1 species